ACGAAAAUCGAAGGUACGAAACUCCAGUAAUAGGCUUACAUUGAUUCUGGGGACUUGAUAUAAAUCGACUAAAUUUGUCCAGAAAUUCAUUUUCUGCCAGUUUCCUCAGCUGUCAAAAAUAAUGGAUACACCUGUUUAUAUUCUAGGAUUUUACUAUUUCUAAACCAUAAGAGCAAAAUGCAUGUUCUAGCAAUAGAAAAGAUAAUACUGUUUACAAGUGAAUUUUCAUUCGAUAUUUUGUUGAAACAGAUGUGGGAUUGUAGGGAGAUUUUUAUAAAUGCUUGGAAACUAACAAAUUGUCUUGUAACUUCAUGAGAUUUUAAAAAUGUUGCUGUUCCAAUGUCGAGAAAUUGUAAAACAAAGUAAUAGAAUAGUUAAAGAAGUCGUACAGUAAAUGGAUUUCUGUCAACUUGAGCAGGAUAGGUGUAUUUCCUUGCGGCUUUCUUCGACACUGACUGUGGUCUAAUUAAAAAAAGACAGUGGACUUAAAACACAGAAAUGUUGUUUUUUCCACCUGGCCACACGACCAUUGAAAAUAUCAGAAACAGAAAUGCUAAUUUAUUCAAAGAACGAAAGCUACUUGCUAGGAACUCAGCAAAAUUAGCAUAAUGACAAUAAUUGCACUGCAGUGGCUAUUUCGACCAUUUGACAACCACCAUUGGACUUGACCACAUCAGAGCUAAAGGAGAUGAAUAUACAAAUACCCUCAUUUUUGAAUAUAAAUAUCUUAUUAUUAUAAAGCACCGUAAGCCUAGCGUGUGUGGAGUUAUUACGAGACUGAAUUGUGAUUCCAUGCAUGUCCGAUGUAGCAAAGGACACGUGUUGCAGGCACCAAGAGACUGCUUUUGUUCAAUUAUAGGUCGGUAAUGACGCAGAAUAUAGUUGUAGGAAGAAUAAUUAUAUAUAACGAGAGUGGUUCAGUCGAAAAUAACUUUGUAUUGUUAUACAUAACACACAAUAAUAUCAUGAUACUUUAAAGGAUUUUUUAUCCCCGCAUGUUGUGUUUUCAAUUAAAAAUAAUAAAAGAUUUUUUAUCAAAAUAAAAUUUCUAGCAUAAAUAA